GAUGAACGCUAGCGAUAGGCCUAACACAUGCAAGUCGAGGGGCAUCACAUGAAGUAGCAAUACGGAUGGUGGCGACCGGCGCACGGGUGAGUAACACGUAUGCAACCUGCCUUCAACAAGGGGAUAACCCGUUGAAAGACGGACUAAUACCCUAUAACACAGGGGUCCCGCAUGGGAAUAUUUGUUAAAGGACAACCGGUUGAAGAUGGGCAUGCGUUCCAUUAGCUAGUUGGCGGGGUAACGGCCCACCAAGCCAUCGAUCAGUAGCUGGUCUGAGAGGAUGAUCAGCCACACUGGAACUGAGACACGGUCCAGACUCCUACGGGAGGCAGCAGUAAGGAAUAUUGCUCAAUGGCCGAAAGGCUGAAGCAGCAACGCCGCGUGGAGGAUGAAAUACUUUUGUAUGUAAACUCCUGUGAGAAGGGAAAAUAUGCAGAUUUUCUGCGUUGAUUGUACCUUCAGAGGA
rnacentral:rRNA from 1 species